GCUCAGAUACCAUAGCUCAGGUGGUAGAGCUUAAGGUUCUUAAUCUCAGGGUUGUGGGUUCAAGCCCCACAUUGGGCA